rnacentral:rRNA from 2 species
UAGGGAAUCUUCCGCAAUGGGCGAAAGCCUGACGGAGCAACGCCGCGUGAGUGAUGAAGGUCUUCGGAUCGUAAAACUCUGUUAUUAGGGAAGAACAAAUGUGUAUGUAACUAUGCACGUCUUGACGGUACCUAAUCAGAAAGCCACGGCUAACUACGUGCCAGCAGCCGCGGUAAUACGUAGGUGGCAAGCGUUAUCCGGAAUUAUUGGGCGUAAAGCGCGCGUAGGCGGUUUUUUAAGUCUGAUGUGAAAGCCCACGGCUCAACCGUGGAGGGUCAUUGGAAACUGGAAAACUUGAGUGCAGAAGAGGAAAGUGGAAUUCCAUGUGUAGCGGUGAAAUGCGCAGAGAUAUGGAGGAACACCAGUGGCGAAGGCGACUUUCUGGUCUGUAACUGACGCUGAUGUGCGAAAGCGUGGGGAUCAAACAGG